rnacentral:antisense_RNA from 1 species
UAGCUCUCCACGUAAUCGACGUGUUCGUCCUGCGGCUCGCUGGCGAUCUGCCGCAGCGUGGCCUUGUCCACGCGGCCCACUCCGAUGGCGAACAGCUCGACGCCGCUGGCCCGGGCCCGCGCAGACACGUCCUGCACGCUGUCCUGGGGCCUCCCGUCUGUCACCACGAUGACCACCUGCGACACGCGGGGCGGUGUGACACCGGGCUCCCGGAAGCCCACGGGACUGUCCAGGAGAGGAGGCUGAGGCCCGGAGAGGCGGGAGGACUGCCGGGUCGCACAGCCAGGCGGCACCCGGGGGAAGAGGACCUGGCUGGCCAAAGAGGAGACCCGUUUCCUCUGAGAGACGUGGCUGGGGGGCUUUCCAUCUGCGUCGCCUCCCUCGGGCAGGCAGCUCUGAGAUGCCCGGAGGGAUGUGAUGCCCCAUCGCCAAAUUGGGGCCUCUAAGCUAUGAAAUGGCCACCUCACGGGGCAUCAUGGGAAUCAAAGUGUCUGCAGGCAAAGCUCAUAACUCUGAGCGGGAGCCUCCAAACAGCAGCAUCCUAGCAGGGUGGCGUGCACGUACCUUGCUGAUGUCAGGGGACCUGGAAUGACCACCCUCUGCAUCGCCGAAGGCUUUGGUGAUAGCGAACUGGAUGGCCAGGCCAGUCAUGGUGCCUGUGGACAGCGGCUGGAUACGGCGCACAGCCUGCAGCAGUGCGGCCUUGGAGACGUGAGCCCGCAGCGAGAACUCCUGCUUCACAGUGCUGGCAUAGUUGACCAUGCCCACCCGGGUGGCAUUGGGCCCCACGUCCAGCGACUCGAUGACCUGGGACAGGAAUACCUUCACUUUCUCAAAUUCAACAGGCCGAACGCUGCGAGAGCUGUCGACAACAAACACCAGG